UAAUAAGUGUUUUAUGGCACCUUUUAAAUCCAUAUCCACCUUGUGUGCAAUGUCAGUCGAUCUUCUUUAUUGGAGAUCGACCAAACAUCAACCUUUAUUUUUUAACUCUUUGUCUGAAAAAUAUUAUGAAUAAACAAUUCAAAAUA
rnacentral:misc_RNA from 1 species